CCCUUAGUGUGUGUGUGUGUGUGUGUGUGUGUGUGUGUGUGUGUGUGUGUACACACACACACACACACACACACACACACACACACACAUACAUACAUAAACCUGGGAUUUCUCCCAAGCCUGC